CUCUUUUUUCUGACUUCAGAGCGACCAGGAAGUGCAAUCCUGUGACCAAAAUGUGAAUAUCGGCUGACCUGUGCAACAAUCUGGAGAUUUUUACGAGACACCUCUGCCUUGCAAGCCAAUGGAGUGUAGAAUGAGGAAGCACCGGCAACCGGAUCUGCUUGAGGCCUGGCCAGGAAACCGAUCAAGCAAGAAACGUCAGGCUGCAGUGGACGCCAAGGGGGCCAUCGACUAAUGCCUCAGGAUGGGGGCCAAUGUGGCCUUCUCAACUGGCUCGACGGUCACCCACGAACAAGGAAAUGGUUCGAUUAGGAUUACCCUUCCUGCAGGUUAAAAGCAGCUACUACUGGAAAGGCAACUAUAGCUCCAGCAUGCUCAAAGUGCGUUGUGUUUUUCACACGAUGCUGCCAGUUUCCAGUCCUACGCCUCGGUUGACUCUUUUGCACUUGCUGCCCUCUUUUGCCACUUCUGAUUUUGUCGCAGUCACUUUUGUCAAUUAAAAAAGAACCCUGUCAGUAUUUACUAAAGGGCAGUUUUGCCUCCCGACUCAGUCAGCAGAAGCCUUCCCUUCAAUUACCCAUCGGAAGCACUUUCGAUUUGAUUGCAUGCGGAGUCGCCCGAUAAUAUCUGCGUGUUGGCACUACAGCUGAAAAUUAUUUGUAAAAAAUUUAUAAAAAUCGAUUUUUAGCGUGGUUUUAAAACUCAUCAACACACUUUGUAUGUACGGCAAAAAGAAAAAAAACAUUUUGUGGGGUGUUUUUAUUUUUCACCUGGGUCAAGGGGCGAUGGGUCCCAUAAAAUCUCUUAAUAUUGUUAGAAAUUUUUAAUGGUUCAUUUUCAUAAGACAUGGAAGACUUAAUCAAGCAUACUGCUGCGCUUUGAGAGGUUGCUUGUGUUGCAAUAUGAUUUGGCCGAAAUUUUUUUUAAAUAGGAAAUACAAAAGUAGAACCCUUUUUUAAUUUACUUUUCUCUAUAUUAAUCGUCUGGCCAGCGAUAUUAAUUUGGUGGGGCUCAGGUUUAACAUAGCUUGUGUUGGUCAAGACCAAGUGUCUAUGGCCAAGAUUGAUUAUAGGAGACCAGCUUGUUGCGCAAAUAACUCUGCUAGAAGCGAAUUGCAAUGGUAAGUGCUAUUUAAGGAUGCAGCCUUGUCACCUUUUAACGUGCGCCAUGUAGACAAAUGUCACUGGUUGUAAGGCCAUCAUGAAACAAUUAUUCAAAAGUGCACAAAUUAUACAUUUACAUCGCUUGUAGUUCAGUUAAAUGGUUAGUUUGAAGUUAAAAAUUAGAGGCUUCCUAAAUAAUUACCACGAAAAAAAUUGCACUUUAUAAAAAUUGUUCAAUUGUAACUAAAAACUUGAAUAAUUUAUCUACAUCCGUUCUAAUACUUCGAAUGAUGCAAGUUAAAUAUGUAAAAUUUUCAAAGUAAAGUUUGACUAUGUCAAAUUAAUUAGCAUUUUAUAGAUGAAUUUAUUGCUCUUGUUAUGAUAUAUUUGUAAAGAGCAAAUUAGGCAUAAUUAUGAUGACAUUACCAAAAACCUUAAAAUCUGAUUGUUAUUAAAUGGUUAUGUCAGAUUAUCUAUAACGUCAAUUCAAUUACCGAUUAUAGAUCUUCAAUCAAAUACUACAUGGCGCUAUCAUUUUGUAGAUGGCCUCGGCUGUGGAGAGAUCUUAAGGCUUUUCUUCGUUCUUGCUGGGCGUUCACAUAAAAGAUGCACUGCCACAGGAUCUCUUUCCUUGGAAAAAAUUUGCUAGGUGAAUGAGCGUCCAUUUCUUCUCUGAUCGUAUUCACUCUGCACUUUGCAGCUGCAGAAAAUAAGGAAUUAGUUUUCUGCAAUGAGAAGAAGAACAGGCUGUCUAUCAAAUGUUUCUAACUGCGCCUUUUGUCUUAAUUCUUCAAAACAAGGAACCAGCAAAAUUUUAUGAGUUAAUUGUAAUGUUGUAAAAAUCACUAUGAUUUAACAAGAAACCUUUCGUAAUUAACUUGAACCUUAGCAUGAUAUAGAUUCUUAUGAAGAGUUGAUCAGCCACAAAUUUCCUUAUCAACGUUUUGAGGGAAGGGAAGAGCGCUAUAAAAAUGGUUAUUACUUAAAAAAAAUUAUGUUGACUUGCAACUACCGCAUAUACCCACCAGCAAACCUCAUACGUAAACUUGUAACGAUUAAAUUAUUAUUUUUUUAAAUUAUGCCUUUACUAUAUAUUUCACAAAAUUAUAGACAGCAUUGGAAAAUGAUUAGUUAUCCUAGCAUUUUCAUUUCAACUAAUUAUGCCAUGCUUUAGAUUUUUUCAUAAUUGAAUCUUCAUGGAAUUUCAAAUUCAAUGUAUAUUAAUUGCGUGAACUUCAAUUAAAUUACCAACCAGAAGCUAAGAAAAAAGGAGUUUGAUUUUUAUCAAGGGUAAUUUUUGCAUUUUACCUUCCGCGCUUUUAUAUUUCGGCUAUAUUUUAAUAAUUCACUAGCGGAAAACUAUGUUCAAAUAUAAGCAAAUUUGCUAAUUGAUCGCUGGAAACCAUUU